rnacentral:rRNA from 1 species
ACAGCAGUAGGGAAUCUUCCGCAAUGGACGAAAGUCUGACGGAGCAACGCCGCGUGAGUGAUGAAGGUUUUCGGAUCGUAAAGCUCUGUUGUUAGGGAAGAACAAGUGCGAGAGUAACUGCUCGCACCUUGACGGUACCUAACCAGAAAGCCACGGCUAACUACGUGCCAGCAGCCGCGGUAAUACGUAGGUGGCAAGCGUUGUCCGGAAUUAUUGGGCGUAAAGGGCUCGCAGGCGGUUUCUUAAGUCUGAUGUGAAAGCCCCCGGCUCAACCGGGGAGGGUCAUUGGAAACUGGGAAACUUGAGUGCAGAAGAGGAGAGUGGAAUUCCACGUGUAGCGGUGAAAUGCGUAGAGAUGUGGAGGAACACCAGUGGCGAAGGCGACUCUCUGGUCUGUAACUGACGCUGAGGAGCGAAAGCGUGGGGAGCGAACAGGAUUAGAU